rnacentral:lncRNA from 1 species
UUUCUUAUUGCAUAUAUUGCUUUUGAGAAAAAAAUAAAUUCGUUUCUGACCAUUGAGGGGUAUGGUGGGAUGAUUGGGGUCGUUUCACCCUUAAUCAGAAGUUUUGAAUUUUGAGCCUUGAACUAAAAGAACUUUUGGUUAAGUAGCUUUUCACUAGUGGAUUUUGUUAAGGCUAUAUGUGUGAGCUUGAUUACAUUGUCGAUUACAAGUCCGGAUAAAGGAG